CCUACGGGCGGCAGCAGUGGGGAAUAUUGGACAAUGGGCGAAAGCCUGAUCCAGCCAUGCCGCGUGUGUGAAGAAGGCCUUCGGGUUGUAAAGCACUUUCAGUGGGGAAGAAAGCCUUGGGGCUAAUACCCUCGAGGAAGGACAUCACCCACAGAAGAAGCACCGGCUAACUCCGUGCCAGCAGCCGCGGUAAUACGGAGGGUGCGAGCGUUAAUCGGAAUUACUGGGCGUAAAGCGCGCGUAGGCGGUCUGAUAAGCCGGUUGUGAAAGCCCCGGGCUCAACCUGGGAACGGCAUCCGGAACUGUCAGGCUAGAGGGCAGGAGAGGAAGGUAGAAUUCCCGGGGUAGCGGUGAAAUGCGUAGAGAUCGGGAGGAAUACCAGUGGCGAAGGCGGCCUUCUGGACUGACACUGACGCUGAGGUGCGAAAGCGUGGGUAACAAACAGGAUUAGAUACCCCAGUAGUC
rnacentral:rRNA from 1 species